UUUUCUUUACCUUCCUUUUCUCUCCCUCCAUCUCCCUCACACACACCCAGCCCCUUCCCCUCUUCCUUCUUCCUCUCUUCAUCUCCCUCUCACACUCUCUCACAUACCCAAACCCGGGAGUAUGAGUGACUGAAACUGAGAGGGAGAGCCUGAGAAUGAGAGAGAUCUGGCCAAGAGAAGAAGAAAAGAAGAAUGAGAAUAAAAUGGCUCGUUUCAUAAUUAGAGACUUCGGCUUGUUCUCCAAUCUAGAGUUCAAGUAACUAGAACACGAGAGAAAUGUUGGAGUCAUAAGUCCAAUGUAGCCAAGGUACUCCACCUGUAGUAGAUGGUAUUGUAGCAGUGUAUUCAGAAUAUUAUGACUAAAGCUAGCCGCGAUUGUCAUAAUUGCUGGACCACGGGUGUCCACUGUUUUAUAGGUUUGGUAUAUGACUUGUGACGGUUGUAUCACUUAUUCUUUAUAAAGCCAUUCUUGUUGUGUAAUUAUUAUAUUGAUAAGACUUAGACAAAUAGAUGUU